rnacentral:lncRNA from 1 species
CUUCUGUUCCACUGAUCUAUAAGUGUAUUCUUUUUUAUUUUUUUGGUUUGUGCUCAGUUUUUUAAACUUUAUUUUUUUAAUUUGAAUAUCUAUAUAUAUUUUCACAUAUAUAUUCCUACAUGUUUCUAUCCAUUCAUGUGUAUAUGAAUAUACCCAAAUGGCAACCAAAUUCCUGUUCAUAUAUUUUUAUGUCUAUUCUUAUGACAUUCUCUCUUAUAGUCUUGCAUAUGGUAAACUGAUAUGCAAGCUUUGGACUCAGAUAAUGUAAAGUCUCCAACUUUGUUGUUCUUUUUCAAAAUCAUUUUGGCUAUUAUAAGUCCUUUACAUUUCCACAUCAAUUCAGCUGGUUAAUUUCUACCCCCAAAAAAACUUACUGGGAUUUUAUUUUCCCCUCUCUACUUGUCUAUUUUAAAAUUUAUUUAUUUAUUGGUUAUACAGGACUAUAGAGUGUUUUUUGGUAAAUAGACACAAUACCUUUAUUUUUUUUCUAUAUUGGUGCUAAGGAUUGAGCCCAAUGCCUCACACGUGGCAAGUGCUCUACCACUGAGCAACACCACCAUCCCCAGUAGAGUGUAUUUUAACAUAUCAUACAUAGAACAUAACUUCUCAUUCUGUGGUUGGACACGAUGUGGAGUUACACUGGUCAUGUAUUCGUAUAUAAACAAAUUAUAUACGAAUACAUGACCAGUGUUAUAUCAAAUUCAUUCAUUCUACUGUCUUUCCUAUUCUCAUCCCCCUCCCUUCCCUUCAUUCCCCUUUGUCCAAUGAACUUCUUCUUGCUCCACCCACCCCUUAUUAUGUGUUAGCAUCUGAAUAUCAGAGAAAACAUUCAGCCUUUGGUUUUUUGAGAUUGGCUUAUUUCAUUUAGCAUGAUAGCCUCAGUUCCAUCCAUUUACCAGCAAAUGCCAUAAUUUCAUUUUUCUUAUGGCUGAGUAAUAUAUUACAUUGUGUAUAUAUACCACAUUUUCUUUAUCCAUUCAUCUGUUGAAGAGCACCUAGCUUGGUUCCAUAGCUUAGAUACUGUGAAUUGAGCUGCUCUAAACAUUAAUGUGGCUAUUAUCACUAUAGUAUACUGAUUUUUUUUUUUGGUAAAUAUUUUUAGUUGUAAAUGGACACAAUACUUUCAUUUUAAUGUGGUACUGAGGAUCAAACCCAGUGCCUCACAUGUACUAGGCAAGUGCUCUACCACAAUCCUAGCCUGUAUGCUGAUUUUAAGUUGGGAUUUUUUUAAUAUUUAAUUUUUAGUUGUAAUUGGACACAAUACCUUUAUUUAU